CCUACGGGUGGCUGCAGUGAGGAAUAUUGGUCAAUGGCCGUAAGGCUGAACCAGCCAAGUCGCGUGAAGGAAGAAGGAUCUAUGGUUUGUAAACUUCUUUUAUAGGGGAAUAAAGGUAUCCACGUGUGGAUUUUUGCAUGUACCCUAUGAAUAAGCAUCGGCUAACUCCGUGCCAGCAGCCGCGGUAAUACGGAGGAUGCGAGCGUUAUCCGGAUUUAUUGGGUUUAAAGGGUGUGUAGGUUGUUUUUUAAGUCAGCGGUGAAAGUUUGUGGCUCAACCAUAAAAUUGCCGUUGAUACUGGAAGUCGUGAGGGUGUUUGAGGUAGGCGGAAUGCGUGGUGUAGCGGUGAAAUGCAUAGAUAUCACGCAGAACUCCGAUUGCGAAGGCAGCUUACUAAGCCAUAACUGACACUGAAGCACGAAAGCGUGGGUAUCAAACAGGAUUAGAUACCCGGGUAGUC
rnacentral:rRNA from 1 species